AGGAGGACGUCUGAGCCGCUUUGUCAGAGAGGAUUCUGGGAGUCAUAAACUACAUCAGUGAAAAUGAUGAACCAUCUCCAUCCUUAAAACAGAUUCCUUCAGCUGAAAAGAAGAACAGCAAUGAAAAAAUCAUGAAACGCUUCUGUCCUCGACACGGUUCAACGCUCCGACAUCACAUUUCAAUCAUACUCAGAACUCUCACGCUCGCCAGAGCUGCACUGAUGGCGUCCUGGAGGAGUGGCUGUACCUGGACCUUGUGUGGGUCGUAGACGCCGUCUCGUGGUACCGCUGGAGGACCAACAUCAACCAGACAUCCAGCUGGUCACCAGUCUGUGUGAUACGUGGAGCGACCCGUUGUCAUGGUAACAGCUACAGAGCCAGUACCGGCCCGGACAGCAGCGACAGAGGGAAGCGGUCAUGACAGGACUUCAGGUCUGAAGGUUCUGGUCCAAACAGAAGAAGUGUCAGACGGUUCUCACCUGUGUGAUAAAGAAACGCUUCAGCGGUUCAUGUGGAGACGAAUACCCAGCAGCCCAGAGAAAAUAUGACAAAAUAUUUGCACAAACACACAGGUAAUCCAGUCCGUUGUCACGGUAACACAUCGCUGAGCCUCGACUGCGGCGCGGAGGAACGUGAUAUCAAAGCUGAUCGUCACGACGGUCCAAUAAAGAAUCAGACAAAGUUCUCCUCUUACCGCCUGUUUUUGUCCAGAAGGUGAAGGAAAACCUUUGUUUUUUUGAAGAAGUCGCCACAUUCAGAACGUUGUGA